UGAAGAAUUUGUCCAACGGCGGGGGAUAGCCGGCCCAACGGCCGGGUAAUACCGCGUACGACCCUCGGGGGGCAUCCCCUGAAGGUGAAAGCCGCAAGGCGCCGAUGGAGAACUUCGCGGCCUAUCAGCUAGUUGGUGAGGUCAUGGCUCACCAAGGCGACGACGGGUAGCUGGUCCGAGAGGAUGACCAGCCACAUUGGGACUGAGACACGGCCCAGACUCCGUACGGGAGCAG
rnacentral:rRNA from 1 species